GGGAAUGUGGCUCAGUUGGUAGAGCGUUUGCCUUGCAUGCCUAAGGCCCUGGGUUCGAUUCCUCAGCACCA
rnacentral:tRNA from 1 species